rnacentral:rRNA from 1 species
GCGGUGGAGUAUGUGGUUUAAUUCGAUGCAACGCGAAGAACCUUACCUGGUCUUGACAUCCCGGAGACCCUUAGGAAACUAGGGGGUGCUUCCAUCUGGAAGAAUCUGGAGACAGGUGCUGCAUGGCUGUCGUCAGCUCGUGUCGUGAGAUGUUGGGUUAAGUCCCGCAACGAGCGCAACCCUUGCCUUUAGUUGCCAGCAGUUCGGCUGGGCACUCUAAAGGGACUGCCGGUGUUAAACCGGAGGAAGGUGGGGAUGACGUCAAGUCCUCAUGGCCUUUAUGACCAGGGCUACACACGUACUACAAUGGCCGAUACAAAGGGCAGCGACACUGCGAGGUGAAGCCAAUCCCGUAAAAUCGGUCUCAGUCCGGAUUGGAGUCUGCAACUCGACUCCAUGAAGUUGGAAUCGCUAGUAAUCGUGGAUCAGCAUGCCACGGUGAAUACGUUCCCGGGCCUU